CAAGUCGAGCGGACAGAUGGGAGCUUGCUCCCUGAUGUUAGCGGCGGACGGGUGAGUAACACGUGGGUAACCUGCCUGUAAGACUGGGAUAACUCCGGGAAACCGGGGCUAAUACCGGAUGGUUGUUUGAACCGCAUGGUUCAGACAUAAAAGGUGGCUUCGGCUACCACUUACAGAUGGACCCGCGGCGCAUUAGCUAGUUGGUGAGGUAACGGCUCACCAAGGCGACGAUGCGUAGCCGACCUGAGAGGGUGAUCGGCCACACUGGGACUGAGACACGGCCCAGACUCCUACGGGAGGCAGCAGUAGGGAAUCUUCCGCAAUGGACGAAAGUCUGACGGAGCAACGCCGCGUGAGUGAUGAAGGUUUUCGGAUCGUAAAGCUCUGUUGUUAGGGAAGAACAAGUGCCGUUCAAAUAGGGCGGCACCUUGACGGUACCUAACCAGAAAGCCACGGCUAACUACGUGCCAGCAGCCGCGGUAAUACGUAGGUGGCAAGCGUUGUCCGGAAUUAUUGGGCGUAAAGGGCUCGCAGGCGGUUUCUUAAGUCUGA
rnacentral:rRNA from 2 species